UACAGAGGGUGCAAGCGUUGUUCGGAAUUAUUGGGCGUAAAGCGCGUGUAGGCGGCGUGACAAGUCGGGUGUGAAAGCCCUCAGCUCAACUGAGGAAGUGGCGCCCGAAACUGUCGUGCUUGAGUGCCGGAGAGGGUGGCGGAAUUCCCCAAGUAGAGGUGAAAUUCGUAGAUAUGGGGAGGAACGACCGGUGGCGAAGGCGGC
rnacentral:rRNA from 1 species